rnacentral:rRNA from 1 species
CCACACCAUAAAAACUUUCCACGUGAACCGUUGAAUCAUGUUCUGUGCUCUCUUUCGGGAGGGCUGAACGAAGGUGGGCUGCUUAAUUGUAGUCUGCCGAUGUAUUUUUCAAACCCAUUUACCUAAUACUGAUCUAUACUCCAAAAACGAAAGUUUAUGGUUUUAAUCUAUAACAACUUUCAGCAGUGGAUGUCUAGGCUCGCACAUCGAUGAAGAACGCUGCGAACUGCGAUACGUAAUGCGAAUUGCAGAAUUCAGUGAGUCAUCGAAAUUUUGAACGCACAUUGCACUUUCGGGUUAUGCCUGGAAGUAUGCCUGUAUCAGUGUCCGUACAUCAAACUUGCCUUUCUUUUUCUGUGUAGUCAGGGAGAGAGAUGGCAGAAUGUGAGGUGUCUCGCUGGCUCCCUUUUCGGAGGAGAAGACGCGAGUCCCUUUAAAUGUACGUUCGCUCUUUCUUGUGUCUAAGAUGAAGUGUGAUUCUCGAAUCGCGGUGAUCUGUUUGGAUCGCUUUGCGCAUUUGGGCGACUUCGGUUAGGACAUUAAAGGAAGCAACCUCUAUUGGCGGUAUGUUAGGCUUCGGCCCGACGUUGCAGCUGACAGAGUGUGGUUUUCUGUUCUUUCCUUGAGGUGUACCUGAAUUGUGUGAGGCAAUGGUCUGGGCAAAUGGUUGCUGUGUAGUAGGGUUUUGCUGCUCUUGGAUAGGGUAAAGGAGGCAACACCAAUUUGGGACUGUUUGCAAUUUAUUGUGAACAACUUUCUAAUUGGACCUGAUAUCAGGUAAGAUUACCCGCU